AUUGAACGCUGGCGGCAGGCUUAACACAUGCAAGUCGAACGAGCGGCGGACGGGUGAGUAAUGUCUGGGAAACUGCCUGAUGGAGGGGGAUAACUACUGGAAACGGUAGCUAAUACCGCAUACCAUCGGAUGAGCCCAGGUGGGAUUAGCUAGUUGGUGGGGUAAAGGCUCACCGAGGCGACGAUCCCUAGCUGGUCUGAGAGGAUGACCAGGCAACCUGGAACUGAGACACGGUCCAGACUCCUAAGGGAGGCAGCAGUGGGGAAGUUUGCACAAAGGGCGCAAGCCUUGUGCAGCCAUGCCGGGUGUGUGAAGAAGGCCUUCGGGGUGUAAAGGACUUUCAGCGAGGAGGCGUUACUCUCAGAAGAAGCACCGGCUAACUCCGGGGCAGCAGGCGCGGUAAUAC
rnacentral:rRNA from 1 species